AUUGAACGCUGGCGGCAUGCCUAACACAUGCAAGUCGCACGCGAAAGGGGGCAACCCCGAGUAGAGUGGCGGACGGGUGCGUAAUACGUAGGAAUCUACCUGAUAGUGGGGGACAACCCGGCGAAAGCCGGGCUAAUACCGCAUACGACCUAUGGGUGAAAGCCGGGGACCGCAAGGCCUGGCGCUAUUAGAUGAGCCUGCGUCGGAUUAGCUAGUUGGUGAGGUAAAGGCUACCAAGGCGACGAUCCGUAGCUGGUCUGAGAGGACGACCAGCCACACUGGGACUGAGACACGGCCCAGACUCCUACGGGAGGCAGCAGUGGGGAAUAUUGGACAAUGGGGCAACCCUGAUCCAGCAAUGCCGCGUGUGUGAAGAAGGCCU
rnacentral:rRNA from 1 species